rnacentral:lncRNA from 10 species
AGUCUCGCUCUGUCUCCCAGGCUGGAGUGCAGUGGCGCGAUCUCGACUCACUGCAACCUCUGUCUCCUGGGUUCAAGCAAUUCUCCUGCUUCAGCCUCCCGAGGAGCUGGGACUACAGUAGGAUGGCUUUCCAGAGGCUUCCAUUCCUCACUCCGUGACUUAAUCGACUAUGAGCUUGGACAAGUGUGGUGGAGAUAAUGAGGAUAUGAGAUAACUUCAUAGUUAUUUGAAGAUUGGGUGAGAAAAUCCACAAAAAGCAUUCAGCACAUGGCAAUACUCAGUGAAGGCUAUUUUCCUCAACUACAGGAGCUUUUUCCUUUGAUCUAUUUCUUGAUCUACCUGUCCUCCUGAUGGGACACUCCCUACCCUGGGAACACUGGAAACAGUUUGGCAAGUGGCUUCCCGGGCCGGAAACAGUGACUCAUUGGCAUCUGGAAUACAGAGGUUUCCAGAACAAUCCCACUAGCACCAGCUAAAAUCUAUGUCUAGGGAUUGGCAGAGAGGAGGGGCCCUGGCAAGUAGACCCCCUUUCCUAGAAACCUCUUUCCUUUGAUGCCAGGGAACAUUUGCCAAGAAAUGGCCAUAGGUCUGCCACCUGCACUCAGUGUCAACAGGGAACUUCCUUGAUGAUUAAUGUAGGAAAUGUGGGGCAAACGUCAACUACACUUCCCGACUGAAAACUAAAAGUGUUCGCUGAAAGUCAAAGUAGAAGGAAAAAAGCAUAUGAGGUGCCAAACCAAUUUCCAGGAACUUCUCCAGGAUCUAGCUUUAGGCAAAGAAAAACGACUUGUUC